GACGAACGCUGGCGGCGUGCCUAAUACAUGCAAGUAGAACGCUGAAGAGAGGAGCUUGCUCUUCUUGGAUGAGUUGCGAACGGGUGAGUAACGCGUAGGUAACCUGCCUUGUAGCGGGGGAUAACUAUUGGAAACGAUAGCUAAUACCGCAUAACAAUGGAUGACACAUGUCAUUUAUUUGAAAGGGGCAAUUGCUCCACUACAAGAUGGACCUGCGUUGUAUUAGCUAGUAGGUGAGGUAAUGGCUCACCUAGGCGACGAUACAUAGCCGACCUGAGAGGGUGAUCGGCCACACUGGGACUGAGACACGGCCCAGACUCCUACGGGAGGCAGCAGUAGGGAAUCUUCGGCAAUGGGGGCAACCCUGACCGAGUAACGCCGCGUGAGUGAAGAAGGUUUUCGGAUCGUAAAGCUCUGUUGUAAGUCAAGAACGGGUGUGAGAGUGGAAAGUUCACACUGUGACGGUAGCUUACCAGAAAGGGACGGCUAACUACGUG
rnacentral:rRNA from 1 species